UGGCAGCAUAUAUGCUAAAACUGGAAAACUGGAAUGACAGAGAAGGCUAGCACGACGUCUGCUUAAGGAUGACACAUAAAUUUGUGACGAAUUCCAUAUUUAU